rnacentral:lncRNA from 1 species
CACAAAGGGUCUGGGAAACAAGGGCUUCUAAAGGAAUUCCGGAACACUGCCCAGUAGAUGCCCAGAACAAGAGCUGAGUGCUGCGGGCACAUCUGGGAAAGGAGGCUGGGAGGCUCCAGGAGGGACAGCAGCAAAGAGAUAAGUGAGAUUGGUGUUACCUUACUGUGGGGGAUCCUAGAGGAUGUUGUAUGUCACCAAAAACCUGCUAUACUGCUGGCCCUUAGAGAAGAAAUUGAAAACACGAGUACAGCAAUCUCAAUGACUAAGGUUACCUAAGUAGCAGUUUGCCAUACCAAUAAAUGUCUGGAAGCUAAUGGACCCC